rnacentral:lncRNA from 1 species
CUUUUCUUUUUUUCUAUGAUUCGGUGUUAAUUCGUUGGUAUUUUGAGGCCUUAAUUGUUAUUGUUGAUCAAGAUACUGGCUAAUUGGUGUAUGAUCAAGAUUCUGGUAAUUAAUGUAUUGAUCAAGCUUCUGGGUAAUUGUUGUAUUGAUCAAGAUUUCGGCUAGUUGGUGUAUGAUCAAGAUUCUGGUAAUUAAUUUAUUGAUCAAGGACAAUGGGUAAGUAUUGUUGAUUAGGAUAUGGGUAAUAAUGUUUGAUCAGGAUAAUGGGUAAUUAUUGUUGAUUAAGAUAUGGGUGAUUACUGUUUGAGUAAUUAUUGUAUAAGAUUCGUUUCGGAAGAUUAGUCGAUGCCCCCUUCUGCAAUGAUUCCAUUCUUCCGCGCUUCGAAAAUUAUUUUUGAUGUGUCUGUAGUAGCCUAUGUGUUUGGUUUUUGAUUUCAUGGCCAUCUCAAAAUUAUAUAAAUCUUUCGAAUCUUUGGAACUCUUUGAUCAUCUCUUUAGAGAAGGAAUGUUAGGGGUUUAGGAAUUUAUUUUCACCAAUGUGUGUUGUAUUUUGCUGCCAUGAAGUUCUUUGUUUAGAUGCUUGUGUUCUUAUGGUGAUCCAAUUGAUAAGGUCUCUUAUGGUGAAGAGGUCUCUUACUCUCUUAUGGCUAUGGAUACAUGAUAAGUACUUUGACCAAUUCUAGAUCUUUGUAAAAUAAUUCUAAACUUUUGUUCUUUUAGCUAAUUAUCCAACUGCUUUCAUUUUUUUCGUUAUCACACUAGUUUUUUUGGUUGUAUGGAUAUGUAGACUGUUCUGGACGUUCAGAUUUGGAAAUUUCAAAGCUUGAUUAACCAACAUGUGAUCCUUUGCCUCCUUUUGGUCUUUUUGGUGCUUGCAUUGCAAUCUGGAUGUUUUCUGGGUUUUGACAAAAGGGAUUUUCAGUCUGGUCUAUGGCAUCUGUAGUGAUUACUUGGGUGGUUUGGGGUUCAUUAGGUUUUCUCUGAACAGUUCCCUUCUUUCUGUUCUUGCAGUCAUUGCUUACAGCGCAGUGAAUUCUUCUUUUCACAGAGCGACUGUGUUUUUUCGGUUUGCGUUGAGGUUUCUUUAGUCAAGUCUUUUACGAGUGUGGAGAUUUUCGAUUCUAUGGCCCUUGUCUUUUUUUAAAACUAGUGUUAUAUGGAAGUUUCUCAACUAGGACAUUAUUUUUCACCAGUGUGUGUUGUAUUUUGCUGUCAUGAAGUUUAGUCCAGAAGCUUAUGUUCUUUGAUCAUCCUAUUUAUGAGGUCUUCUAUGGCUAUGGACCCUUGAUAAGUACUCAUCCAAUUCUAGAUCUCAUUUGAUAGUAACGUAAAAUACUUCUUUACUUUUAUUCUCUAGCUACUAACUUAUCUUAUCUGCUUCCUUAUAUUUUUCGUUAUCAUACUGGUUUGUUUUGGCUGGAUGGAUGUGUAGUAGACUAUGUGGUGACACUAUUAUGGACGUUCAGAUUUGGAAAUUUCAAAGCUUGGUUUACCAACAAGUGAUCCUCUGCCACCUUUUGGUCUAUUUUGUGCUUGCACAACAAUCUGGAUUUUGUCUGGGCUUUCUGUCUCGUCUAUGGCAUCUCUAGUGAUUACUUAGGUGAUUUUGGGUUAGUCAGAUUUGCCCUUAACUUUUCCUUUCUUUCUGUUCAUGCAGCCUUGUUUGCCCCUUUGUGUUGAGGUUUCUUUAGUUUAAGUUUUUAUGAGUAUUAAGAUUUUCAAUUCAGUUUUCUCAGGAGUUUCUCGACUAAGAUAAUAUUUUUCACUAGUGUGUGUUGUUGUUCUGCUGCCAUGAAGUUUUUAAUCUAGACACUAUGUUCUUCGAUGAUCCAAUUGAUAAGGUCUCCUAUGGCUAUGGACACUUGAUAAGUACUCAGCCAAUUUCGGAUCCUCUCUUUAGACAGUGCCAUAAUGCUCCUCUACAUCUGGUCUUCUAGCUACAGAUACUUUGGUUAUCACAACUAGUUUUUUUUGUUGGAUGGAUGUGUAGACUGUAUGGUGACAGUAGUAGAGGUUAAUAUAUUUCAAAGGUUGAUAUCCAGUAUGGUAUCUUGUACCCUCUUGGUCUUUUUGGUUCUUGCACUGCAAUUUGGAUAUAUUGGUCAGGGCUUCAACAAAAUGGGAGUUUUAAAUCUGUCCAUAUGGCGUCUCUAGUGAUUUCUUAGAUGGUAUGGGUUUCAUCAUCUUUGGACUUGAUUGUACCCUUCUUUUUGUUCUUGCAGCCAUUGGGUCUUACGGAGCAAUGAAUUAUUCUUUUCAUGGAGCAGCUUUCUUUGUCCAUUUAUAACGAGGUUUCCGUGAUUCAAGCUUUUAUGAGUUCUGACUUUUCCAACUAAAAGACUUUUUUUUCGUUACUCUGUGUUGUAUUCUAGUCUAUGUUGCGCGGACUCUUCAUUUUUGCGGCCGAACCCGUCUCGACGCGACACUGGUGCGGGCGCGGGUGCGGGGUGCGUGUCGGAUUCGGUCAAUCCGAUCCAAAUACUUUGACCAAAGCCGAGAAAAAAAAUGGGGAAGAAGAGAUCAAUUUCAUGG